AUAGAUACCCUAUUAUUUUGAAUGUAAAUAUUAAAAACUUGAUUAAUAUAAGUUUAUGGUCUUUAAAAUUAAAGAUUUUGGCGGUAUUUUAGUCUAUUCAGAGGAAUCUGUCCUAUAAUUGAUAAUCCACGAUUUAAUUUACUUUUAGAAAAAAUUUAUAUAUCGUCGUAGUUUGAAUAUUUUAAAAGAAUUUUAAUGUUCAAAAUUUUUUUAUAAAAUUAAAUCAGAUCAAGGUGUAGUUUAUAUAAAAGAAGAGAUGGAUUACAUUAAAUUUAUUUAAAGAUUAAUUUUUGUAAAAUUUUAUGAAUAUGGAUUUGAUAGUAAUUUUUUUAAAAUUUUAAAAAUGAUUUAAGCUCUAAAAUAUGUACACAUCGCCCG
rnacentral:rRNA from 1 species